rnacentral:rRNA from 1 species
AGGACGAACGCUGGCGGCGUGCUUAACACAUGCAAGUCGAACGCUGAAGCUUGGGUAGCUUGCUACUUGGGUGGAUGAGUGGCGAACGGGUGAGUAAUACGUGAGUAAUCUGCCCUUGGCUUUGGGAUAAGCACUGGAAACGGUGUCUAAUACCAGAUAUGACUGCGGGUCGCAUGGCUCGUGGUGGAAAGAUGUUUUUUGGCUUUGGAUGGGCUCACGGCCUAUUAGUUUGUUGGUGGGGUAAUGGCUCACCAAGGCGGUGAUGGGUAGCCGGCCUGAGAGGGUGACCGGCCACACUGGGACUGAGAUACGGCCCAGACUCCUACGGGAGGCAGCAGUGGGGAAUAUUGCACAAUGGACGAAAGUCUGAUGCAGCGACGCCGCGUGGAGGAUGACGGCCUUCGGGUUGUAAACUCCUUUCAGUGGGGAAGAAGCCGAAAGGUGACGGUACUUGCUAAAGAAGCGCCGGCUAACUACGUGCCAGCCGCCGC